UUUUUAUUUAAAAUUCUGGUCAGAAAAUUUAGGUUCAUUAUUUAAAAUAAUUUCCAGGGGGUUGGGUAGGGGUUGGUGAGGACAACCUAAACCUCAAAACCUUUUUCUGCUUACUGUUUCACUUCCAGUAGAUGGCACCAAAUACUCUUUGAAAUUCUUGAUAAUAGUUCUUAGUUGGUGUUGCUAAUUGAUGAUCUGUUCUACCACCAUAGAACAAAAAAUGGUACAUUUAUUUUUUUAGUUUUAUUCUCUGAUGUUUAUGUACACAAUUUAGUAAUUUUGUUUAGAGUUUUUAAGUUAGAAUCAUUGGUGUCUAAGUUACUUAUUUGCUCUCUUCUGACUCAAUUUCAAAUUCCCAGGCCCCUCUUUAAAAGAAAAGCGCUUUUCAAUCAGGGAGAUUCUAGUGGGAAAAGUCAUGAUAUUGAGAAAUAGGACUGGGUUAAAUAUAAAAGUAUAUGUAAAAUUAAAAAUGAUAAGGAAAUCAAAAUAUUUCUAGUAUAUCAGGUUGGAUACUUUAAUAGGAUUGAAUUUUGUUGAUUUUUUUUCAAAUUUAUUUUACAAAUAACAUGCACUUCAAAAUACUCUGAGAAACUAUUAUGUACCCAUUCUCAUUUUCAACUUUCUGCCUUCAUGAAAAGCUUUACUUUCAGUAUGUUUUAUUUAAUUACUGUUUUCAUAACUUUUUCUAAUUAACCAUUAAACCUAGAAAAUGUGUUUCCUACAUGUCAGUCUUGGUUUAUUAC
rnacentral:lncRNA from 1 species